GGUGGUUCUCGGGUGAUGCACCCUGUAAUCGGGCUCCUUCCUCUCUUGUUCAGGGUGCAUCACCCAAGAACCGCA
rfam:Myotis lucifugus cont2.368, whole genome shotgun sequence.